rnacentral:rRNA from 1 species
ACUCCUACGGGAGGCAGCAGUAGGGAAUCUUCCACAAUGGGCGCAAGCCUGAUGGAGCAACGCCGCGUGAGUGAUGAAGGGUUUCGGCUCGUAAAACUCUGUUAUUAGGGAAGAACAUAUGUGUAAGUAACUGUGCACAUCUUGACGGUACCUAAUCAGAAAGCCACGGCUAACUACGUGCCAGCAGCCGCGGUAAU